rnacentral:rRNA from 1 species
AUGGUCAAACUCGACAUUCAACGCGCCUUUGAUACCGUGUCAUGGGAGUUCCUGCUUGAGCUGCUUGUUGCGAGAGGAUUUGGGAGAGGAUUCACCAACUGUCUGUCAGCACUUCUCAGCUCCUCUUCAACAAGGAUCCUUAUCAAUGGUGAUCUAUCUGAACCGAUCAAUUUAGUGAAGGGGCUAAGGCAGAGAGACCCGCUAUCACCGCUCCUGUUCGUGCUGGUCAUUGACUGCCUUGCUAUGCUCAUCGACAAGGCGGUGACAGCCGGAAUUCUAGGGCCGAUCGGCAAACAACAGCUGCCCUUCAGGCUUUCUCUGUAUGCAGAAGAUGCAAUCUUGUUCAUCAACCCAUGCCGCAAGGAGGUACUUGCACUGACACAAAUUCUCAAGCUCUUCGGAGAAGCUACGGGCCUGCACACUAACUUUGCAAAAUCUUCGGUCUCCACUAUCUGUUGCAAUGGGAUCGACCUCCAAGAACUUCUUCAAGACUUGGGCUGCCCCAUCAAGGAGUUUCCUUGCACCUAUCUGGGCAUGCCACUGACGGACAAGAAACUGAAGAAGAAUGACCUUCAGCUGAUCUGUGACAAGCUCAUUGCAAGGAUGAAGGGUUGGAAGCUUGCCUUUCUUUCCCUUGAUGAACGGCUGGAUCUGGUCAGGACUGUGCUCUCGGUGAUGCCGAUCUUUCAAAUGCUCACCUUGAUAUUACCUGCUUGGCUGGCCAAGCUGAUCGACAAGGUUCGUCAUGGAUUCCUCUGGGAGGGUAGUGAAGUGGCGGCCGGGGGCAAAUGCCUGGUCAACUGGGGUACUGUAUGUCGGCCAAAGGAGUUCGGAGGGCUCGGCAUCAUCAACCUGACAGCCCAAAGUCAUGCCCUACGGAUGAGGUGGCUGUGGCUCUCAUGGAACGACAGCAACAAGGCAUGGCAGGGGCUGGAUUUGCCUAUCGACCCUUCGGUUAGAUCACUGUUCAACUGUUGGGGAACGUUGCAGAAAAUUAAAAUUUUUCCUACGGUUUCACCAAGAUCCAUCUAUGAGUUCAUCUAA